GUGUCAGCCGCCGCGGUAAUACGAAGGGGGCUAGCGUUGUUCGGAAUCACUGGGCGUAAAGCGUACGUAGGCGGAUCGUUAAGUCAGAGGUGAAAUCCCGGAGCUCAACUUCGGAAUUGCCUUUGAUACUGGCGGUCUUGAGUUCGGGAGAGGUGAGUGGAACUGCUAGUGUAGAGGUGAAAUUCGUAGAUAUUAGCAAGAACACCAGUGGCGAAGGCGGCUCACUGGCCCGAUACUGACGCUGAGGUACGAAAGCGUGGGGAGCAAACAGGAUUAGAUACCCUCGUAGUCC
rnacentral:rRNA from 1 species